rnacentral:rRNA from 1 species
UACAGAGGGUGCAAGCGUUAAUCGGAAUUACUGGGCGUAAAGCGCGCGUAGGUGGUUUGUUAAGUUGGAUGUGAAAUCCCCGGGCUCAACUCGGGAACUGCGCUUGAUACUGUCGAGCUAGAGUGUGGAAGGGGCGAUUGGAAUUCCGUGUGUAGCGGUGAAAUGCGUAGAUAUACGGAGGAACACCAGAGGCGAAGGCGGAUCGCUGGGCCAACACUGACGCUGAGACGCGAAAGCUAGGGUAGCAAACGGGAUUAGAAACCCUGGUAGU